UGCAAGGGUCAGCAUGGGGUAGGGAACAGCUUUGUUUAAAGACUCUGAACUCCUUUGGCAGGUGGCAGCUGGUCAGCAUGGGGUAGGGAACAGCUUUGUUUAGAGACUCUGAGCUCCUUUGGCAGGUGGCAGCCCUUUCUCUAUGUGGCACAAAGAGUUUGAAAUUAUGUUCAAGUCAGAAAUUGCAGCAUGCCUCUGACACUUUUGAGGCCGGUUUUCUUUCUUCUAAUAAUUUUCAAGUAUUUCUCUGUAGAAGCUGGAGCCCUGCUGAGGUGCACUGGCUCAGCCCUGCAUUUCUCCCGUUUAUGGAACCCCACACACAGGCAGUAAAUGCCUCCACUCACUGGCCCUUGCCAUCACUGGAUGCCUUUGCAGAGGUCCAAUCCUUGCUUCUGGCCUGGCAGCCUUUGCUAAAUCACAGCGUUUCACAUCCUGCCCCUCAGGCAUCACAUACUCCCUGCAAACAAGCACUUUCAGUUCUUGCAUGGAAGCUCCUUAACUCUGACUCUGCUGGAAAACUCAGCAAGAUGGGGAGGACUGCAUUAAAACAAGUGUGUUCCAGGCAGCUGUCAACUGCUGAACAUUUGAACAACCAGGGCCUCCCAAAGGGAAAUAACAUCUUCGGAAUGGCCAGGCUCAAGAAAACACCACAUCUUAAAUGAUGUAUUGAUGGGGGAAAAUAAAUUCAGAAGAGAAUUUGGUGCUUUGCCGAGCAAUGUCCUGAAGAUAAGCUUGUACCAGUUCUUCAGUCACGCACUAAUGAUCUUCAGUUCAUAAUAUGUUAUAAAUCACUCUGAUGGAUACAGAAAAGGGUAAUAAAUGAAUAAAUAAAUAGCAAACACUCGGUGGAUAGUGCUGAUCAUAGAAAGAUGAAUUAAUCAUAAACACUGCUUCCAAAGGCUGUGACACGAAUGAGCAUUCCUUUGAUAUCAGCCAUGCUCUUCUUCCCACCAACUUGUUCUCAAAUAAACAUCCCAGUAAAUAUUUGUCUCCUUGCUCUAGCAUUGCAAAUACAAUGAGAAAGGCCACAUCCUCUCCUAGCCCGUGGAUAGGAAUUCCCUUAGGGUGAUGCUGGAUUGCAGGUUGGGAUUCACCUCAGCUCACUUCAGUCAGAUUCUAGCUCAUCAUCUCAGUCUAGAGCAGGAUCUCUGGGCUCCCUUCAGAGCUGCCCUUCUUAUUUGCCACUCUCCCAGUACUUGCAAUCUCUUCUAUCUCUUUUAAUCUCUUUCAUGGCUUCACUGUCUGAUGUCCCACCCUGGUGCUCUCUUCCCUAGAAAGUGCCCCAGGAAUUCUGCUGCCUCACUGCAGCACAGCCUGCACUGGGGGCCUCUCAGGUCAGCGAUUUCCACCCUGCUGGUGGCAGCACAGUCACC
rnacentral:lncRNA from 1 species